rnacentral:rRNA from 1 species
UCACUACCAGAUGGACCUGCGUUGUAUUAGCUAGUUGGUGGGGUAACGGCCUACCAAGGCGACGAUACAUAGCCGACCUGAGAGGGUGAUCGGCCACACUGGGACUGAGACACGGCCCAGACUCCUACGGGAGGCAGCAGUAGGGAAUCUUCGGCAAUGGGGGCAACCCUGACCGAGCAACGCCGCGUGAGUGAAGAAGGUUUUCGGAUCGUAAAGCUCUGUUGUAAGAGAAGAACGUUGUGUAGAGUGGAAAGUUACACAAGUGACGGUAUCUUACCAGAAAGGGACGGCUAACUACGUGCCAGCAGCCGCGGUAAUACGUAGGUCCCGAGCGUUGUCCGGAUUUAUUGGGCGUAAAGCGAGCGCAGGCGGUUUAAUAAGUCUGAAGUUAAAGGCAUUGGCUCAACCAAUGUACGCUUUGGAAACUGUUAAACUUGAGUGCAGAAGGGGAGAGUGGAAUUCCAUGUGUAGCGGUGAAAUGCGUAGAUAUAUGGAGGAACACCGGUGGCGAAAGCGGCUCUCUGGUCUGUAACUGACGCUGAGGCUCGAAAGCGUGGGGAGCGAACAGGAUUAGAUACCCUGGUAGUCCACGCCGUAAACGAUGAGUGCUAGGUGUUAGGCCCUUUCCGGGGCUUAGUGCCGCAGCUAACGCAUUAAGCACU